GAUGAACGCUGGCGGCGUGCUUAACACAUGCAAGUCGAACGAUGAAGCCCAGCUUGCUGGGUGGAUUAGUGGCGAACGGGUGAGUAACACGUGAGUAACCUGCCCUUAACUCUGGGAUAAGCCUGGGAAACUGGGUCUAAUACCGGAUAGGAACGUCCACCGCAUGGUGGGUGUUGGAAAGAUUUAUCGGUUUUGGAUGGACUCGCGGCCUAUCAGCUUGUUGGUGAGGUAAUGGCUCACCAAGGCGACGCCGGGUAGCCGGCCUGAGAGGGUGACCGGCCACACUGGGACUGAGACACGGCCCAGACUCCUACGGGAGGCAGCAGUGGGGAAUAUUGCACAAUGGGCGAAAGCCUGAUGCAGCGACGCCGCGUGAGGGAUGACGGCCUUCGGGUUGUAAACCUCUUUCAGUAGGGAAGAAGCGAAAGUGACGGUACCUGCAGAAGAAGCACCGGCUAACUACGUG
rnacentral:rRNA from 1 species